rnacentral:rRNA from 1 species
AUGAACGCUGGCGGCGUGCCUAAUACAUGCAAGUCGAGCGAACAGAUGAGGAGCUUGCUCCUCUGACGUUAGCGGCGGACGGGUGAGUAACACGUGGAUAACCUACCUAUAAGACUGGGAUAACUUCGGGAAACCGGAGCUAAUACCGGAUAAUAUAUUGAACCGCAUGGUUCAAUAGUGAAAGACGGUUUUGCUGUCACUUAUAGAUGGAUCCGCGCCGCAUUAGCUAGUUGGUAAGGUAACGGCUUACCAAGACAACGAUGCGUAGCCGACCUGAGAGGGUGAUCGGCCACACUGGAACUGAGACACGGUCCAGACUCCUACGGGAGGCAGCAGUAGGGAAUCUUCCGCAAUGGGCGAAAGCCUGACGGAGCAACGCCGCGUGAGUGAUGAAGGUCUUCGGAUCGUAAAACUCUGUUAUUAGGGAAGAACAAAUGUGUAAGUAACUAUGCACGUCUUGACGGUACCUGAUCAGAAAGCCACGGCUAACUACGUG